rnacentral:rRNA from 1 species
CCUACGGGAGGCAGCAGUGAGGAAUAUUGGUCAAUGGGCGCGAGCCUGAACCAGCCAAGUCGCGUGAGGGAUGACUGUCCUACGGGUUGUAACCUUCUUUUAUCAAGGAGUAAAGUGCGCCACGUGUGCUUCUUUGUAUGUACUUUAUGAAUACGGAUCGGCUAACUCCGUACCAGCAGCCGCGGUAAUACGGAGGAUCCGGGCGUUAUCCGGAUUUAUUGGGUUUAAAGGGAGCGUAGAUGGGUGGUGAAGGCAGUGGGGAAAAUUUGCGGUCCAAACGUAAAAGUGCAAUUGAUACUGUCAGUCUAGAGUACAGGAGAGGUAGGCGGAAUUCGUGGUGUAGCGGUGAAAUGCUUAGAUAUCACGAAGAACUCCGAUUGCGAAGGCAGCCUACUAAACUUCAACUGACACUGAUGCUCGAAAGUGUGGGUAUCAAACAGGAUUAGAUACCCCAGUAGUC